rnacentral:rRNA from 1 species
GGUUAAGCGACUAAGCGUACACGGUGGAUGCCCUGGCAGUCAGAGGCGAUGAAGGGCGUGCUAAUCUGCGAUAAGCGCCGGUAAGGUGAUAUGAACCGUUAUAACCGGCGAUACCCGAAUGGGGAAACCCAGUGUGAUUCGUCACACUAUCAUUAACUGAAUCCAUAGGUUAAUGAGGCGAACCGGGGGAACUGAAACAUCUAAGUACCCCGAGGAAAAGAAAUCAACCGAGAUUCCCCCAGUAGCGGCGAGCGAACGGGGAGGAGCCCAGAGCCUGAAUCAGCAUGUGUGUUAGUGGAAGCGUCUGGAAAGGCGCGCGAUACAGGGUGACAGCCCCGUACACAAAAGCGCAUGUGUUGUGAGCUCGAUGAGUAGGGCGGGACACGUGGUAUCCUGUCUGAAUAUGGGGGGACCAUCCUCCAAGGCUAAAUACUCCUGACUGACCGAUAGUGAACCAGUACCGUGAGGGAAAGGCGAAAAGAACCCCGGCGAGGGGAGUGAAAAAGAACCUGAAACCGUGUACGUACAAGCAGUGGGAGCACAGGUUUACCUGUGUGACUGCGUACCUUUUGUAUAAUGGGUCAGCGACUUAUAUUCUGUAGCAAGGUUAACCGUAUAGGGGAGCCGGAGGGAAACCGAGUCUUAAUUGGGCGUUAAGUUGCAGGGUAUAGACCCGAAACCCGGUGAUCUAGCCAUGGGCAGGUUGAAGGUUGGGUAACACUAACUGGAGGACCGAACCGACUAAUGUUGAAAAAUUAGCGGAUGACCUGUGGCUGGGGGUGAAAGGCCAAUCAAACCGGGAGAUAGCUGGUUCUCCCCGAAAGCUAUUUAGGUAGCGCCUCGUGAAUUCAUCUCCGGGGGUAGAGCACUGUUUCGGCUAGGGGGCCAUCCCGGCUUACCAACCCGAUGCAAACUGCGAAUACCGGAGAAUGUUAUCACGGGAGACACACGGCGGGUGCUAACGUCCGUCGUGAAGAGGGAAACAACCCAGACCGCCAGCUAAGGUCCCAAAGUCAUGGUUAAGUGGGAAACGAUGUGGGAAGGCCCAGACAGCCAGGAUGUUGGCUUAGAAGCAGCCAUCAUUUAAAGAAAGCGUAAUAGCUCACUGGUCGAGUCGGCCUGCGCGGAAGAUGUAACGGGGCUAAACCAUGCACCGAAGCUGCGGCAGCGACGCUUAUGCGUUGUUGGGUAGGGGAGCGUUCUGUAAGCCGUUGAAGGUGGCCUGUGAGGGUUGCUGGAGGUAUCAGAAGUGCGAAUGCUGACAUAAGUAACGAUAAAGCGGGUGAAAAGCCCGCUCGCCGGAAGACCAAGGGUUCCUGUCCAACGUUAAUCGGGGCAGGGUGAGUCGACCCCUAAGGCGAGGCCGAAAGGCGUAGUCGAUGGGAAACGGGUUAAUAUUCCCGUACUUGGUGUUACUGCGAAGGGGGGACGGAGAAGGCUAUGUUGGCCGGGCGACGGUUGUCCCGGUUUAAGCGUGUAGGUGUGUGUUCCAGGUAAAUCCGGUUCACUUUAACACUGAGGCGUGAUGACGAGGCACUACGGUGCUGAAGUAACAAAUGCCCUGCUUCCAGGAAAAGCCUCUAAGCAUCAGGUAACAUCAAAUCGUACCCCAAACCGACACAGGUGGUCAGGUAGAGAAUACCAAGGCGCUUGAGAGAACUCGGGUGAAGGAACUAGGCAAAAUGGUGCCGUAACUUCGGGAGAAGGCACGCUGAUAUGUAGGUGAAGCGGUUUACCCGUGGAGCUGAAAUCAGUCGAAGAUACCAGCUGGCUGCAACUGUUUAUUAAAAACACAGCACUGUGCAAACACGAAAGUGGACGUAUACGGUGUGACGCCUGCCCGGUGCCGGAAGGUUAAUUGAUGGGGUCAGCGCAAGCGAAGCUCCUGAUCGAAGCCCCGGUAAACGGCGGCCGUAACUAUAACGGUCCUAAGGUAGCGAAAUUCCUUGUCGGGUAAGUUCCGACCUGCACGAAUGGCGUAAUGAUGGCCAGGCUGUCUCCACCCGAGACUCAGUGAAAUUGAACUCGCUGUGAAGAUGCAGUGUACCCGCGGCAAGACGGAAAGACCCCGUGAACCUUUACUAUAGCUUGACACUGAACAUUGAGCCUUGAUGUGUAGGAUAGGUGGGAGGCUUUGAAGUGUGGACGCCAGUCUGCAUGGAGCCGACCUUGAAAUACCACCCUUUAAUGUUUGAUGUUCUAACGUGGACCCGUGAUCCGGGUUGCGGACAGUGUCUGGUGGGUAGUUUGACUGGGGCGGUCUCCUCCUAAAGAGUAACGGAGGAGCACGAAGGUUGGCUAAUCCUGGUCGGACAUCAGGAGGUUAGUGCAAUGGCAUAAGCCAGCUUGACUGCGAGCGUGACGGCGCGAGCAGGUGCGAAAGCAGGUCAUAGUGAUCCGGUGGUUCUGAAUGGAAGGGCCAUCGCUCAACGGAUAAAAGGUACUCCGGGGAUAACAGGCUGAUACCGCCCAAGAGUUCAUAUCGACGGCGGUGUUUGGCACCUCGAUGUCGGCUCAUCACAUCCUGGGGCUGAAGUAGGUCCCAAGGGUAUGGCUGUUCGCCAUUUAAAGUGGUACGCGAGCUGGGUUUAGAACGUCGUGAGACAGUUCGGUCCCUAUCUGCCGUGGGCGCUGGAGAACUGAGGGGGGCUGCUCCUAGUACGAGAGGACCGGAGUGGACGCAUCACUGGUGUUCGGGUUGUCAUGCCAAUGGCACUGCCCGGUAGCUAAAUGCGGAAGAGAUAAGUGCUGAAAGCAUCUAAGCACGAAACUUGCCCCGAGAUGAGUUCUCCCUGAGACUUAGAGUCUCCUGAAGGAACGUUGAAGACGACGACGUUGAUAGGCCGGGUGUGUAAGCGCAGCGAUGCGUUGAGCUAACCGGUACUAAUGAACCGUGAGGCUUAACCUU